UACAGAGGUCUCAAGCGUUGUUCGGAUUCAUUGGGCGUAAAGGGUGCGUAGGCGGCGCGGUAAGUCGGGUGUGAAAUCUCGGAGCUUAACUCCGAAACUGCAUUCGAUACUGCCGUGCUUGAGGACUGGAGAGGAGACUGGAAUUUACGGUGUAGCGGUGAAAUGCGUAGAUAUCGUAAGGAAGACCAGUGGCGAAGGCGGGUCUCUGGACAGUUCCUGACGCUGAGGCACGAAGGCCAGGGGAGCAAACUGG
rnacentral:rRNA from 1 species